AGGCUUAACACAUGCAAGUCGAGGGGUUUCGAAGAGCUUGCUCCGAGAAACGACCGGCGCACGGGUGAGUAACGCGUAUCCAACCUGCCCUUCAUAUUGGGAUAGCCUUCCGAAAGGGAGAUUAAUACCGAAUAACAUAGAUAGAUUGCCUGAUUUCUCUAUGAAAGCUCCGGCGAUGAAGGAUGGGGAUGCGUUCCAUUAGGUAGUAGGCGGGGUAACGGCCCACCUAGCCAACGAUGGAUAGGGGUUCUGAGAGGAAGGUCCCCCACACUGGAACUGAGACACGGUCCAGACUCCUACGGGAGGCAGCAGUGAGGAAUAUUGGUCAAUGGUCGGAAGACUGAACCAGCCAAGUAGCGUGAAGGAUGAAGGUUCUAUGGAUUGUAAACUUCUUUUAUACGGGAAUAAAACCUCCCACGUGUGGGAGCUUGUAUGUACCGUAUGAAUAAGCAUCGGCUAGCUCCGUGCCAGCAGCCGCGGUAAUACGGAGGAUGCGAGCGUUAUCCGGAUUUAUUGGGUUUAAAGGGAGCGUAGACGGGAGAUUAAGUCAGCUGUGAAAGUUUGAGGCCCAACCUUAAAAUUGCAGUUGAUACUGGUUUCCUUGAGUGCGGUUGAGGUGUAUGGAAUUCGUGGUGUAGCGGUGAAAUGCUUAGAUAUCACGAAGAACUCCGAUUG
rnacentral:rRNA from 1 species